UAGCAUUAAUUUUGUGGAACUUUGAAUAGUGAGAAAAAAAUUUGUGCAGUUUUGUUUAAUAAAAUGGAUUGAUUAUAAGGUAACUGUUUGUUUGUUUUUAUCAUAUUAACAUCCAAAAAAGAUCAUGACUUAUCAUUUUAUUUUAUUUUUACACAUAUUAGGCUCUUUGUCUUUGUUUAAAGUUUGACUAAGAGAUAAGCUUUAUGCAUGUACUGUCAAGUACGUUUCACUUUAUUCCAAAAUAAUUGACAAAUACUCAGUCAAGCAAUGUACUAAGUUUAAAAAUUAUCAUUCAAUUUGUACAAUGAAGUUGAAGAUGUAUAAAGAAAUGUUAUACACAUUUUUUCCAGACAAAACCCCCCCAUAAGGAUGACAAUGUACUUGGACAAGAUUCUAAGACCUUUUUGAAAGAAAUAUGAAUAGGGGACUUCUAUAGCAGAAGAAGUAUAGCCAAACUUGCAGAAAACAACAACCGAAUGACUGCAUCACUAAAGAAAAGAAACAGGAUUUCUCCAAAUGUAGAAAUGCAGACAGCUCUUCACCAUCAACUGUGAUCCUUUGUAAUUUUGUGUACAUAUGAAACUAAAUGACUGCAAAGAAAUGUUUUUUGUUGUUCUUAGGUUGUUGUAUGCAUACUUCA